rnacentral:lncRNA from 1 species
UAUUUAACAGCCGAUAUAUUUCCAUACAAGUACAAUAUUCCAACAAUAAUAUAUAAUUUAUAUACGGGGCGGAGCUACUCAAAUAAUAGUCUUAUUUGAAUUCGUACGGACCAAAUGGGAUUAUCUUAAAUAUUACAAUGACAUUAAAUGCAAGGCAUCUGGGCUGCUUCUUACCUCUAAACUUCUACCUUUAUAAAUAAUAUAAACUGCGAGGCAUACAGCUAAAUGCGCUGCUUCUUACCUCUAGGAACCCCCGGGAUGAGCCUUGCUGCAAGCCAAACGUAAACGCAGC